UACGUAGGGUGCAAGCGUUGUCCGGAAUUAUUGGGCGUAAAGAGCUCGUAGGCGGUUUGUCGCGUCUGCUGUGAAAACGCGAGGCUCAACCUCGCGCCUGCAGUGGGUACGGGCAGACUAGAGUGCGGUAGGGGAGAUUGGAAUUCCUGGUGUAGCGGUGGAAUGCGCAGAUAUCAGGGAGGAACACCGGUGGCGAAGGCGGGU
rnacentral:rRNA from 1 species